GCCCCGGUAGCCCAGCGGAAGAGGCACGGCGCUCAAACCGCCGACAGCGUGGGUUCGAAUCCCACCCGGGGUA
rnacentral:tRNA from 1 species